rnacentral:lncRNA from 1 species
CAAACCCGCGGGGAAGAGCCGAACGGGUGAGCCCUGUCCCGUCGGGAAAGACCCGAACAUCACCGAAGCCCCCCCGACGCUCGGCAGAGCCGAGCGCGAGAGUCAGUACGAGCACGGCCGUAGCAGCAGCCACACCGGCGUAACCCGAGAGCGAAAGCGAGAGAGAGAGAGAGAAAGAAAGAGAGACAGUCACCGACACACACACACACACACCGAACACCCAGCUACCCUCCACCGCACCUCAAGACCUCCACACACACACGUCGACGUAACCAGAAACACAACAUGGAAAAUCAGCAAACAAAAAUACCGGCCCUGAUGACCCUGCGACUGACGAGACCGACGACAACGACGACACAAACAAAAAAAAAAACACCACUAUUACAAACACCAGGACAGGCCCCACACCCACACAAAUACGGACGCGACGGCACACACCAGACGGAGACCCGACGAACCCUACUACCGACACCCCCCACAUACAGAAAGGUAAUACAGACCACCACGACGACAACACACUUAACAACCACUGCACCCACAGCCACACAGAGACACUCACAAACACACACAACGAUGACCACACACACAAGUACACCCUCCGGACCAAGGCAAUGACCAAUGGCAAAACCAAAAAUUCAAGUACAAAAUAAUAUAAGAAUAGAAUAAGUUUAUA